rnacentral:rRNA from 1 species
GGGCCCGCACAAGCGGUGGAGUAUGUGGUUUAAUUCGAUGCAACGCGAAGAACCUUACCAGGGUUUGACAUCCUGCGAAUCUCUUGGAAACGAGAGAGUGCCUUCGGGAACGCAGUGACAGGUGGUGCAUGGCUGUCGUCAGCUCGUGUCGUGAGAUGUUGGGUUAAGUCCCGCAACGAGCGCAACCCACGUCUUUAGUUGCCAGCAUUUAGUUGGGCACUCUAGAGAGACUGCCGGUGAUAAACCGGAGGAAGGUGUGGAUGACGUCAAAUCAUCACGGCCCUUACGUUCUGGGCUACACACGUGCUACAAUGGUCGGUACAGAAAGCAGCCACUAUGCGAAUAGGAGCUAAAUCUUUUAAAAACCGAUCUCAGUUCGGAUCGCAGUCUGCAACUCGACUGCGUGAAGCUGGAAUCGCUAGUAAUCG